ensembl:rRNA 5S_rRNA 5S ribosomal RNA
AUCUAUGGCCAUACCACCCUGAACGCGCCCGAUCUCGUCUGAUCUCGGAAGCUAAGCAGGGUCGGGCCUGGUUAGUACUUGGAGGGAGACAACUGGAAAUCUCAACAAUGCCCCAGAGA